GGACUACCCGGGUUUCUAAUCCUGUUUGCUCCCCACGCUUUCGCACCUCAGCGUCAAUAUGUGUCCAGUAAGUCGCCUUCGCCACUGGUGUUCUUCCGAAUAUCUACGAAUUUCACCUCUACACUCGGAAUUCCACUUACCUCUCCACAAUUCUAGCGAUGCAGUUUUAAAGGCAAUUCCAGGGUUAAGCCCUGGGCUUUCACCUCUAACUUGCAAAGCCGCCUACGUGCGCUUUACGCCCAGUAAUUCCGAACAACGCUAGCCCCCUCCGUAUUACCGCGGCGGCUGGCAC
rnacentral:rRNA from 1 species